rnacentral:rRNA from 3 species
GGAUCAGGUAGGGAUACCCGCUGAACUUAAGCAUAUCA